rnacentral:lncRNA from 1 species
GUGAGGGGGCAGUGAACCACAAAGAUGAAGACUGGAUCUGGUGUGAAGGGAUGGGGGCUGAGCUCCAUUUACGUUGCAAUGAGCAUCUAGAAAGGUGUUUGUUUUACUGGGAUGUUUUUAUGGCACCCUGCAAUAUUUUAAUUUUUCCCUUAUUCAUUCUUUUCUAAAAUCCUUGAAAGAUCCCACUAGGGCUGUUCUUGCCUUUAGAACUGUGUUCCCCAGGAAUUGGGCACUCUUGGUCAUGAGAUGUUUAUGAUUGAGGGAAUGAGUUAAUGUUGCUAACUAAAGACUCAGAACUUAUGGAAAUGUCCCAGUAUUUUAAGAACAAAAAGCAUUCUUAAGGAAUAGGUUUUGCUUUAAAUAUAAUAGUGUACUCAUAAAUUCUUGCUGAAAUCAAUAGUAACAGGAAAAUAACAGUACCAAUAGCC